rnacentral:rRNA from 1 species
UACGUAGGGUGCGAGCGUUAUCCGGAAUGAUUGGGCGUAAAGCGUCCGCAGGUGGCUGUGUAAGUCUGCUGUUAAAGAGUGAGGCUCAACCUCAUAAAGGCAGUGGAAACUACAUGGCUAGAGUGCGUUCGGGGCAGAGGGAAUUCCUGGUGUAGCGGUGAAAUGCGUAGAGAUCAGGAAGAACACCGGUGGCGAAAGCGCUCUGCUAGGCCGCAACUGACACUGAGGGACGAAAGCUAGGGGAGCGAAUGGG